CUGUGAAGGUGUACUGUGAGGUAUGCUGGAGGUAUCAGAAGUGCGAAUGCUGACAUAAGUAACGAUAAAGCGGGUGAAAAGCCCGCUCGCCGGAAGACCAAGGGUUCCUGUCCAACGUUAAUCGGGGCAGGGUGAGUCGACCCCUAAGGCGAGGCCGAAAGGCGUAGUCGAUGGGAAACAGGUUAAUAUUCCUGUACUUGGUGUUACUGCGAAGGGGGGACGGAGAAGGCUAUGUUGGCCGGGCGACGGUUGUCCCGGUUUAAGCGUGUAGGCUGGUUUUCCAGGCAAAUCCGGAAAAUCAAGGCCGAGGCGUGAUGACGAGGCACUACGGUGCUGAAGCAACAAAUGCCCUGCUUCCAGGAAAAGCCUCUAAGCAUCAGGUAACAUCAAAUCGUACCCCAAACCGACACAGGUGGUCAGGUAGAGAAUA
rnacentral:rRNA from 1 species